rnacentral:lncRNA from 1 species
UUUCUCUUUUAGAAGCAUAACCGGAGCUCUUUCAUUUCCACUGUAUAGAUUUUGUAAAUUAUGUGAUGUGCAUUGUCUAUAUGAGUAUUGAAAUCCAGCCAUUUUGUCGGUCUUUAUAACAUACAAUCCCAAACUAUUCAAAGCUAAAAUACACAGCUAGUUCACAGCUAAAAUACACAGUUAGUUCACAGCUAGUUCACAACUAAAAUACAAAUCUUGUUCAUUUUCCCUUAUAAAAACUGUGCUUGGCCGCGGAACAUUCUUGAUGAGUAAACGAUUUGUAUCUACACACAAUUCUUCAAUUCCAUUUCAAAAUAUAAACAUUUAUUAAUAAGAAAGUUUUCCUUUAUUUUCAAUAAUCAAUAGGUUCUAUAACACAAUAGCCUCUGUUGCUUAUCG